UAGAAGCUAACUUUGUCAUAAAAGGUCAACUUCUUCAAAGCAAAACCAAGGAAGGGCGUGGUAGAGUAGAGGGGAGGAAAAGACAACAGGAAUGAAGUCAUGCAGGCAGCAACUGGACUCGAAUACACCAAGCCUCAAAUUGUCAUUGACCACCUGCUCCCCACGCCCCAGCCUCUGCAGCCCCUGCUCCUCACUGGCAGCCCCGGUCUGCCCCCACCUCAGCGACAUUAGUUGAUCCUGGAGGAUCACAGCGGUCUUUUUGCUGAAGCACCUGACCUCCUCUGUCUCCUCCCUAAAGCCCGCAUGGGUUUUCCUCUGGGUUCUCUGAGCCCCUUCCAAAGAUCGAAGCCACGCUCCAACGCUACUCUUUCCAAGUCCGUCCAUUGCCGAACAAUCCUCAAAUGUGUUAUGUUAUUGGAAAUAAAACCCGUAUUUCCUUCA